GACGAACGCUGGCGGCGUGCUUAACACAUGCAAGUCGAACGGAAAGGCCCUGCUUUUGUGGGGUGCUCGAGUGGCGAACGGGUGAGUAACACGUGAGUAACCUGCCCUUGACUUUGGGAUAACUUCAGGAAACUGGGGCUAAUACCGGAUAGGAGCUCCUGCUGCAUGGUGGGGGUUGGAAAGUUUUGGCGGUUGGGGAUGGACUCGCGGCUUAUCAGCUUGUUGGUGGGGUAGUGGCUUACCAAGGCUUUGACGGGUAGCCGGCCUGAGAGGGUGUCCGGCCACAUUGGGACUGAGAUACGGCCCAGACUCCUACGGGAGGCAGCAGUGGGGAAUAUUGCACAAUGGGCGGAAGCCUGAUGCAGCAACGCCGCGUGCGGGAUGACGGCCUUCGGGUUGUAAACCGCUUUCGCCUGUGACGAAGCGUGAGUGACGGUAAUGGGUAAAGAAGCACCGGCUAACUACGUG
rnacentral:rRNA from 1 species